rnacentral:rRNA from 1 species
UGGGGAAUAUUGCACAAUGGGGGAAACCCUGAUGCAGCGACGCCGCGUGAGGGAAGAAGGUAUUCGUAUUGUAAACCUCUGUCUUUCGGGGACGAUAAUGACGGUACCCGAGGAGGAAGCACCGGCUAACUACGUGCCAGCAGCCGCGGUAAAACGUAGGGUGCUAGCGUUGUCCGGAAUUACUGGGUGUAAAGGGAGCGCAGGCGGUCCUUUAAAGUUGGAAGUUAAAUCUACGGGCUCAACCCGUAUUCGCUUUCAAAACUGAAGGACUUGAGUGAAGUAGAGGUAGGCGGAAUUUCCGGUGUAGCGGUGGAAUGCGUAGAUAUCGGAAGGAACACCAGUGGCGAAGGCGGCCUACUGGGGCUUUUACUGAACGCUGAGGCUCGAAAAGCAAUGGGUAGCAAAACA